rnacentral:lncRNA from 1 species
GUGGUGAAUUCCAGCUUCUUCCUGACCCUGAGCCCACCCCCAAGGUGGCCCUCAACCUUUAAGAGUGGGAGAGCAAAAUUGACGGCUUCGAGCGCUUCACCAAGAAGAUGGACCACAGGGCACUCAGCUCAACUUCUCAGCCAAUGAGUUGACAUGCAAGCAGAUUAUGGUGACGGGCUUUAAGAAAGAGCAUCAGAAGGUGGCCAGCUCUUCAGCCUCAGCCAGGUCUUGGAGCUGGACCAGGCCAUCACUUCACCAGAGAUGCCUUCAACACCGUCGGUGAGCUCUUUGCCAAUCAGCCCAGCCAGGAACUGGACCCAGUCAUGGACCUGUUAGUGCUGUCUCUGGGACACCAGGUCAUCAUCCUGGACAUCAUCCACAUACACAAGGAAGCUCUUACCAAAGUCAUGGAGAGCAGGCAACAUGUGGCAGAAGGGAAGACAGAGAUGCAGAGGCUGAUGACAUCAGAAUCACAGGAACAGGAUUUCUUUGGACACUGUGGCUGAAAUUCACCACUUCCAUCCAAUUCCAGUGAGAAACAUGGACUCACAGAUGCAGCAUUUCUUGCAACAAGAGAUACUAUUUUUUCAAAAGGUCACCCAGGAAUUGAUAGUGUUGAAUGACUAGAUACUCGAUUGUGCACUGUUUCCAGUUCAAGGAUGCUUUCUACAGCAGAAUAAUAACACUAGCAAAGAGAUAGUGCCAGGUAUUGGCGGUAGUACAAGGAUGGCUUUGUUCUCAAUUGAAACUCGGCUGAACAUAGAAUUGUGUAGGAAACAGUUAAUAUGGCGAUAGAAUAGAAACAGUAGCAAACAUGACCUAAACCAUGCUAUGAAUUCCUACACUACCAUUGUAACUUUUGGAAGAAUGAUACCACUUACUUUAUUGCUUUUUGAAGUAUGAAUAUUUUCGUGUAUAUGCUGUAGACCUCAAACCCUGUGAAGAGUCUCAAAGAAGCUGGCUGGAUAAAGCCUGCUGUGGAUGUCUUUAUAUUCAAAGAUUGAUGAUGCAAUUUGAAUAUGUGUCCUCACCAAAUCUCAUGUUGAAUUAUAUUUCCUAACGUUGAAGGUGGAUCCUGGUCUAAGGUGAUUGAAUCCUGAAGGCAAAUUUCUCAUGAAUGGUUCAGCACCAUCCCCUUGCUACUGUCCUCACAAUCAUGAGUGACUUCUCAUGACACCUGGUCAUUGAAAACUCUAUGUCACCUCCCUACUCUGCAUGUUUUCCUCUUGCCGUGUGAGACAACUGACUCUUUCUUUGCCUUGCACAAAGAUUGAAAGAUUUCUGAGGCCUCCCAGAAGCAGAAGCCCUGUGCUUCCUGUCCACCCUGCAGAACCGUGAGCCAAUUAAACCUCUUUUUCAUAAUGAAUCAUACAGAAAAUGGCAAAUGAGGACUGGAGCAUUGCUAUAAAGAUACCUGAAAAUGUGGAAGCAGCUUUGGAACUAGGUAAUGGACAGAGGUUGGAAGAGUUUGGAGGGCUCAAAAGAAGACAGAUGAGAAGGUUUGGACCAUCUUAGAGACUGGUUAAAUGGUUGUGACCAAAAUCCUGACAGAAACAUGGACAGUGAAGGCCAGGCUGAGGAGGUCUCAGAUAGAAAUAAGAAGCUUUCUGGAAAAUGUCUUCCUUUUGGAUAUGGAAAGCUUACACAAUGCCUGUACCACCACUGUACCUUAGAAGCAGUGAUCUUGCAUUUUAUUUCAGAGGCUUAUAGGCAAAAGAGGCUGCAGCCUUGACUCAGAUGAGACUUUGAA